rnacentral:misc_RNA from 1 species
UGAUAAUUACAGAAUCAAGAGUGAUUCUUCAUAUAUACGUAUUUCAUAAUAAAUUUAUCAAUAACAGUGUCGAGCAUUUCAAUUGUCACAACAUAAUUAUGUACCUAAUCACAUGUAAGGUAGCAUUUGGAUGCCUCCUUUUGAGUCUCUGUGAUUACUUCUCUUUUUCAUAAUAAACCCCAGACAAAAAGUGGGGGAACCAGGAAACCUUCAAAUUCCUAUCUGGACAAAUUGGAAAGCCUGUUCCCAAAUAUAAAGAAAACUGUAAAAUGAUUGACGUGAAGACACAGCUGAUGUAAAAAGAAGAAUGCUAUAGGAACUGAUCAUUUUCAUUUUUGAAAAGGAUUGCAGCAUAAAUAAACACAACAAACUCCAAAAAUUGGAGAGUAGACAGAGAUUUACCUAAGGGAACUCCAGACUUUGGUGGUUAUUUAAAAGAAAGGCAGAAGGAUAUGUGGAGUUUUGCUGAACAUUUUGAGGGUUGGCCAUAGCUUAUUAAGACAAAAGGGAUGGCCGUAAGAUUAUAUGAACACAAUUAUCAGACCUAACGUGUUCUAGACCUGAAUCAUGGUACCAUUGUGGCUGAGAAAUGAAGCCUCCUAUUUGAGGGAUUGAAAAAGGAAGGGCAAAAAAAAUAUAUAUGUUUUCAUGAAUUUGAUCAAAAAGUUGUUCGAUAUUUUGCCUAUAUUGAGGUAUGGGCCUCUGUGCUGCUGCUGCUCCCAGUUGAAGUGCCUGAGCUCUGGCUAGACUGUUGCACACCAGAAAGAGGAGCAGGCCCACUCUUUGAAAAGGUUGAACCCACCAAUCCGCUAGAUGUGCUUGAUGAUGAAGACAUCCUGGUUGAACUGGAGUCCUUGCUUGACCCUGAAAUAAGUUCAGGUCGCAGUUCCGAAGAUGACGAUGAUGGGGCUAGAGUACCAAUUGAAGAGCCCACAGGGUAAGGUGCAACAGGCAUAUCAGCAAGAGAAGAUGCAGAUGGACUGUAACUCAAUGUUCCCAUCGGAUGAUCAAAUUUGCAUGCAGGUCCAAACUUGCACUGUCCCCAUUGCGUAUAGUGAGCACAAAUCGGUGCACCCUGACAAGCAUAAAGGAAUAUCAGAUGCAUCACAACAUAGGAGACGACUUGAGCUACAACAAACUAUGCACACAGAUACACUCGUAUAAAAUAAAGCACUAUGAUAAGGCACUUGCAUAUGUGUUAACUUAUGGUUACAACAGUAAAAUAUUGAAAACCAACAUAAACAGGAGGGAAAUGCACAACAAACAAAAGAAGGAAAAGCAGAUGACUGAGCUAAUAUCAAUACAAAUUAAGGGAAAAAGUCUGAACAUAACACUGAAAGGAGUAGUUUCAUAUGCAGUUCAAAUGCUUCCAGAGUUAGUGGCAGAAUUCUCACAUGUAGUAAAUAAAUUGACUGAUGAAUUGAUCUACUCUAGAGACAAAGCAUAGAUGCAUGACAUUAUGCUUCUCCAUUUAAUUUGGCUGAACACAUAUUCAUUUGCAACAUGGAAUAUUUCCUGUAGAUGCACGACACAAUAUUUGAAAAUGAUCUCACAUUAACAACAGCGGAUCUUUAAACAUGUAGAAGGCACCAUAAGAUCACUCAUUCUAAUCUGCUUGGGCUCAUCAUACACAUAACUGGAUGGCUUAUGAAAAAAUCUGUUUGAAAAUGAGAAAAUCACGGAAGAACCACAAAAAGUAACAUGAUGAACAAAGAAUAAAUAAUGACCAUUCCAAGAAUCCAAAUUGACAAGUCAAAUGCACCUACAGCAACCCCUGCCAGCACCAGACGUGAUGACAUUGAUAACUUUGAAACAAUUGAUGAUACAACAAAUUCAAGAUCUCAACAAUAUGUGAACCCUAACUAGCUUAAUUAGCAAUAAAUAUACAUUAUAGGGCAAAAGAAGCACCACUCACCAAAAAGAAACCCUCAAUUUAACAUUCCUCAAAAUUGACUUCCAGAACCUAAUAAAUUUAUGCUAAAGAAUGCACACUGAUCAUGGUUAGUAUGGCCUUAUAGGAGGGAGAUAGUGACAAGAAAGAUCAAUUUCCUGAGAAAUCUAACACCGGUUAAGAGAAGCACCAAAAUUUCCUAAGAAUCUUACCCACCUCCAAACUCCCAGUGAUACAUCGAAAUUUACCAAGAGAAGGAACAGGAAAAAUGGCUCAUUAUAAGUAUUUCACCUUGUGAAUUCCAGUACUAAAAGUACUGACAAAUAUAGCAGACAAAAGAAAGUCUCCCAACCAAAAAAUCUUCCACACAUGGAUCCCUUACACCAGCAAAACAUACUCCCAAAACCUUUUCUUCAGCUGAUGAUAUAUUAAAGCAUUAGCCACAAGCAUAACCAUACAAAUUCUUCCUGUAAACAGAUACUGAACAGUUAUAAGCCACCUAUUAUUCACUCAAUAAUAGAAAAAAGCUGCACCUUGCAGUAUAUCAAUAAAUGUGAAGGUGAUCAGAGCAUGGAAAGGAAUGACACUGAAUAGUUUCUUCCAAAUGAAGUCAACAUAUGCAAGGUAAGACUGAGAAAAUAUGGUAUAAGAAGAAUGGGAAAAAUAAAGGCUCGAAGUUCCAUGAUGCAUUGAACAAAUCUUUUUCAACAGAAAACAAUAAUCCAACUUUGAUCAAUGAAAGUAGCAUAAUGUCCUUAUUCAUCUUUGCCACGUCACAUAUUCACAGUACUACCAUUAGAUUAUUGCCAGAAAGGCUCCCAUAAAAGUAAACCAAUUAAAAUUUAGCAACCAGAAUCACACAGCUCCUCUCACAGCAAGGAUAAAGGAUGGUGGGGAAAGAAAAGAAAGGAGAUCAUUUUUCUUGUUCCUCUCUGUAAAGAAGAAAGAAUAGAAAACCUUCCACUCUUAUGGAAGAAUACUGCUAAAGUUCUGAAGACUGAAUAUUGCAAUUUACAUUUUGCAACAAAUAAAGAUUUGGAAGCAAGUUUAUCCCACUGUAACUCUGAGGUUAAAAAGCAUAACAGGUCAAGGAUAAUUAACAGCCUAUUAUCAAUAUUGUAUCAUCUUAUAACUUGCAAGCUGGGAGAAUAUCAGACAGGAACUAGCAAAGUUCUCAUUCACCAAAAAAUGGUGUUUUUCAAAAUAAUAAAUUAACAAGGUAUUCAAUAAACAGAAGAAGUGACCAAGAUUUGAAAUUUCAAAUAUUAAAAAACAGCAAGUUAAGACCAAAGCCAGCUGCAGCAGAGAUAGAAAAUUGAAAUGUGUAAAAAUGCCAAGAAUGACAGGAUUCACAAGCAGGCACAACUUGAAUGCCAUCAUUUACGGUCUCUUAUAUUUUCAAAAGCACGAUACAUACUAUCUAAUGCUAAAUAUAUUAAUAAAAGUUAUCAUGCCAAAACAAACAUUUAACACCAGCAUCAUGAAAACAAUGAUCAGAUUGCAAAGAUCAAAAGCACAAUGUUAAGUAUCAUUAUGAAAAAUGAAGAAAGUCAAAAACUAAAUUAUGUUGUGUAAUCACAAAACUCAUAAACCACAAAAGGCAGUAAAGGCUACAGGUCAUAUAUUAUAAUCAAGCACUGGAGCAUUUCUCUACUUAACAUUAAUUGAAAGAGGAACAAUUGAUUGUUGGAGUACAAGACAAUAACACUCUCUUAUCUUAUUAAGUUAAAGAUUGCUAAGUAAAGAAUCAAGGAAGCAGUAUUCUCUUCUUAUUUUCAACAAUAGACGCAUAAAUGAAAAACACCUUACGCUAAAUCUUUGGAAUAUUCUAUAAAGGCACGAUGGAUACAAUUUGCAGAAAAUGUUGACACUGGAUUUAGUAAUGAACUUUCAAUGUCAAAAUCCAAUUCCAGCAUUGAGCAGAGAAUUGCAAGGCAAAAGAAGGAGAAGAAGAACCAUUCAAGAAAUACAUUUUGAGUUAAAGAUGCCAAAAUAACAGUGCAAGAUGACAAAACAACAUUCCAGAAAAGCACUACAUUAAAGGCAAGUAAUACAUGAUCACUGCCUCUGCUAAGCUUUCGACCAUCAUAUAACAAGUAAGAGUGUGAGUUGGGGUGCAUGUCACUUUUGUAUCAAUAGGUUCAGGGUUGUGUGCAUGUACAUCAAUAUUCUAACAGGGAAAUGGGGAAAACUACAAAAGGAGACUUUAGAACACAUUCGGAAAAAUUUAUCAGGAGAAAACAAAGAAGAUAGGGGGGCUAGAAGAGAGGAUGGGAAGAAGAGAACAAUUAUGUAACUCCAAGACAUGUUUCACAUCCCUGGAAACAAAACCACAAGUAGAUAUGCACAUACUUUGUACAUAUGCUUCAAAUACCAAAUUAACGCCUCUCAUACUGCUAUCUAAUAAACAAUAUAUACAAGAAGCCUGAUUUAUUUUGCAACUUCAGUAUAUAGAACUAAUAAUUCAUAUCCUGAAUAAAGAUAAAACAUGAAGGAAUUCUUACCGGACGCAAAGGAAGGCGAAUAGGGCUAAGAACAACAGUGGUUUUUGGUGCAAUCAAUUCUGGAGGAUGAUGAUAUCUACAGGAUGAUCCAAAUUUACAAUCGCCAGUUUUCAUGUAAUACUGGCAUUCUGGUUGGCCAGGUCUUUCUGGAAAUGAGUGUUCCUUCUGGCUGCUGCUGGAUGGACCAAUUGAAGUAGGCAUGGGUUGAUAGGCACCUGUAUAAGCAGGUGCUGAAGGAGAUAACUGUGUUAUCCCAUACACGGAGCCUGAUCCAACUCCCGGCUGAGUGCUGGGAGAUGCAACUGGGCUUACAGGUGCCGGGUAUGGACUCCAACUCGGAUAGGAAACUAAACCUGGGGAAAGCAGCAUUGGACCAUAAGGACCUUGCACAUAAGAGCCUGGCAGAAGAGGAGGCCUUGCAACUACUAAUCCAUACUGUUGAGUAGAAGGAACAGAUGGAGACUGCACUGUGGGAUAUAAUGCGGAAGCUGUUACUGAAGCAGGCAUGGGUGUAACUUGCGGAGCCAGUGACUGUGCUGGGAUUUGUAGGCUAGCUGGCUGCGGGUGAUGGAAUUUACAAGUUGCACCAAAUUUACACUGCCCUGUUUUUACAUAGUAUGUACACUCUUUUUCACCCGGACGUAUCGGGUACCCUGAAUAAUUUAGUGACACAGGGCUAACAGAAACACCUCCCUGUUUAGGAUGAUGGUACUUGCAGGAAGCACCAAAUUUGCAUGUCCCUGUCCGCAUGUAAUACUGGCACACAGGCUGGCCCACUCGCUCAGGAAACUCCCCAGCACCAGCUCUUGCAGGCCCUAUUACCUACACAAUAUUACGAAACAAUUUAUUAUGACAGAUCAUAUUACAACAACACCGUAGACUGACCAGACUCUUUCAGAAUUUACUCAUUUCAUAACAAACCCACAUAUCAAAACACAGUUACUCAAAUUAAGCAAACAAUCUUCCAAUCUCAAUUAAAAAACCUCAAGAUCAAACUCAAUCGAUCCCAAUAAAACAUUCAAUGAUCACUUUGAAAGAACCAAUCAUAAAGCUCUAAUCCAAACUCAAUUCAAGACAAACCAAAAGGAAACAGCUAGAAUUACCGCGCCUCGGUCACGCGGGUGAUUGAACCGACACCUAGCCCCGUACCCGCAAAAUCCGGUCCUCAAGUAAUAGAUACAAUCAGCCUCGUCGGGUCUCUCCGGGUACCCGGAUUCCCCUUCCCCUAAUCCCAGCCGCCAAACACCCUCUUCAAGCUCAGUUUCAGGUCCCGGAGCCGUCCAUUCCUUUGACGGAUCGGACUGCGAGCCCUCCUGUGUCCAACCGUACCGGUCCAUCCGAAAUUCGCGGAACCGGACGGAAGCGGAGGAAAUUGUACCGGCUUUCGGACAGUUAACAGAAUGAGGCUCCGAUCAAAUGGGGUGCGCCUCGUGUCUGCGCUCGUAUUAAGAGAGAGAAAGAGAGCUAGUGUUAGAAACUGAAGAACGAGUUUUCUUCGUUUGGAUUUUGCUUUGGGGAUUUUUUUUCUUUUUUUUUUAUUUGUUUUAUUUUCCUUCUUUCACUCUCACACACAGACUCGCUCAGUGCUUGGUUUUAUGGUUUUGGUUUUCUCUCUCUCUCUCUACCAGCUUUCAAAGCGAAGGCUUUUGAUCUUUCUUCCUUCUAUGUGUUUUGGUGGUUU